rnacentral:misc_RNA from 1 species
CUCUGCAGUAUCAAAUGUUCCAAGCCACAACCUUGCUCCCUGUCUUGAAGGGUCUCGAAUCUCCGCCGCGAAUUUUCCCCAAGGCCUUCUUCUCACGCCCCGGUAACGCACUUCUUCUCUUCCUUUCUCUUCCUUGUCCUUUCCUCGGCUGCUGCUGGGGCCUUCCAUACGCUAGCUAGAGAAGAUAAAAUAAUAGUACUUUAACGUAUAUAAUGUUUCAAACUUGC